rnacentral:rRNA from 1 species
AGUCGAGGGGUAACAUUGUAGCUUGCUACAGAUGACGACCGGCGCACGGGUGAGUAACGCGUAUGCAACCUGCCUUUGACAGGGGGAUAGCCCGGAGAAAUCCGGAUUAAUAUCCCAUGGUAUUUACGAAUCGCAUGGUUUGUAAAUUAAAGAUUUUAUCGGUCAAAGAUGGGCAUGCGUGACAUUAGCUAGUUGGUAAGGUAACGGCUUACCAAGGCUGCGAUGUCUAGGGGUUCUGAGAGGAUGAUCCCCCACACUGGUACUGAGACACGGACCAGACUCCUACGGGAGGCAGCAGUGAGGAAUAUUGGUCAAUGGGCGCAAGCCUGAACCAGCCAUCCCGCGUGAAGGAAGACUGCCCUAUGGGUUGUAAACUUCUUUUCUGCACCAAGAAUGGUUACUACGUGUAGUGAUUUGACGGUAGUGCAGGAAUAAGCAUCGGCUAACUCCGUGCCAGCAGCCGCGGUAAUACGGAGGAUGCAAGCGUUAUCCGGAUUCAUUGGGUUUAAAGGGUACAUAGGUGGCCAAUUAAGUCAGUGGUGAAAUCCUGCCGCUUAACGGUAGAACUGCCAUUGAAACUGGUUGGCUUGAGUACAGUUGA